rnacentral:rRNA from 1 species
GAUGAACGCUAGCGACAGGCCUAACACAUGCAAGUCGAGGGGCAGCAUGAAAUUAGCUUGCUAAUUUUGAUGGCGACCGGCGCACGGGUGAGUAACACGUAUGCAACCUGCCUGUAAGCGGGGGAUAACCCGGAGAAAUUCGGACUAAUACCGCAUAAUAUCAUUAAUUCGCAUGUUUUAAUGAUUAAAAAUUUAUUGCUUACAGAUCGGGAUGCGUAUGCUUAGCUAGUUGGCGGGGUAACGGCCCACCAAGGCGACGAUCAUUAGGGGUUCUGAGAGGAAGGUCCCACACAGUGGAAAUGAGACACGGUCCAAACUCCUACGGGAGGCAGCAGUGAGGAAUAUUGGUCAAUGGACGCAAGUUUGAACCAGCCAUGUCGCGUGAAGGAUGACUGUCCUAUGGAUUGUAAACUUCUUUUAUAUGGGGAUAAAGUGUGAGACUUGUCUCAUUUUGCAUGUACCAUAUGAAUAAGCAUCGGCUAACUCCGUGCCAGCAGCCGCAGUAAGAC